rnacentral:rRNA from 1 species
AGUGAACGCUGGCGGCGUGCUUAACACAUGCAAGUCGAACGAGAACGGAUUAUAGCUUGCUAUAAUUGUCAGCUAAGUGGCGCACGGGUGAGUAAUGUAUAGGUAAUAUGCCUCUUACUAAGGGAUAACAAAUGGAAACGUUUGCUAAUACCUUAUACUCCUUAUUAACAGAAGUUAAUAAGGGAAAGGUUUAUUGGUAAGAGAUUAGCCUGUAUUGUAUCAGUUAGUUGGUGGGUAAUGGCUUACCAAGACUAUGACACAUAACUGGUUUGAGAGGAUGAUCAGUCACACUGGAACUGAGACACGGUCCAGACUCCUACGGGAGGCAGCAGUGGGGAAUAUUGCACAAUGGACGAAAGUCUGAUGCAGCAACGCCGCGUGGAGGAUGACACAUUUCGGUGCGUAAACUCCUUUUAUAUGAGAAGAUAAUGACGGUAUUAUAUGAAUAAGCACCGGCUAACUCCGUGCCAGCAGCCGCAGUAAAAC